rnacentral:rRNA from 1 species
UACGGAGGAUGCAAGCGUUAUCCGGAAUGAUUGGGUGUAAAGGGUCCGCAGGUGGCAAUGUAAGUCUGCUGUCAAAGAAUGAGGCUUAACCUCAUCAAGGCAGUGGAAACUACAUAGCUAGAGUACGGUCGGGGUAGAAGGAAUUCCUGGUGUAGCGGUGAAAUGCGUAGAGAUCAGGAAGAACACCGGUGGCGAAAGCGUUCUGCUGGACCUGUACUGACACUGAGGGACGAAAGCUAGGGGAGCGAAUGGG